AACUCCUUUUCUUGUACCUGCAGAAGUAGAUUGAUAAAUGUUAUGGGUUUUAUGGAGUGUCCCAACGUCUCCUUCUAGCUCUGGAACUUUAAUGUCUUCCGAUUGACAUAGCUCUACACACUGCUGAGUUAGCUGAUUUGUAGCUAUAGACUUCAGUUUAUCUUCAUUAGUCUUUAGCUUUUCUAUCUCAUUACCCAUACUGUCCACUUUCAUUGAAAGCGUAGUUAGGGUGUUAAGUAUUUUUUCUAGAGUAUCUUCCUCUACUAUUUCAGUCUGUGUAGCUUUGUCUUGAUAUGUAAUCUGCAAUAACAUUUUUGUUAGUACUGAUCACUUCAAUUGUAAAUGUGAAAUUUAAUAUAUUUAAAACUAGU
rnacentral:lncRNA from 1 species